rnacentral:rRNA from 1 species
UACGUAGGCAGCAAGCGUUGUUCGGAAUUACUGGGCGUAAAGAGUGUGUAGGCGGUGCUCUAAGUUUGGUGUGAAAUCUCCCGGCUCAACUGGGAGGGUGCAUCGAAAACUGGGGUGCUCGAGGGUGGGAGAGGUAAGCGGAAUUCCUGGUGUAGCGGUGAAAUGCGUAGAUAUCAGGAGGAACACCGGCGGUGUAGACGGCUUUCUGGACCGUAGCUGACGCUGAGACACGAAAGCGUGGGUAGCAAACAGG